rnacentral:rRNA from 1 species
AAACUCAAAUGAAUUGACGGGGGCCCGCACAAGCGGUGGAGCAUGUGGUUUAAUUCGACGCAACGCGCAGAACCUUACCAACCCUUGACAUGUCCAGUAUGGUUUCCAGAGAUGGAUUUCUUCAGUUCGGCUGGACGGAGACAGGUGUUGCAUGGCUGUCGUCAGCUCGUGUCGUGAGAUGUUGGGUUAAGUCCCGCAACGAGCGCAACCCUCGCCUUUAGUUGCCAUCAUUUAGUUGGGCACUCUAGAGGGACUGCCGGUGAUAAGCCGGAGGAAGGUGGGGAUGACGUCAAGUCCUCAUGGCCCUUACGGGUUGGGCUACACACGUGCUACAAUGGCGGCGACAAUGGGCAGCGAAGGGGCGACCCGGUGCAAAUCCCAAAAAGCCGUCUCAGUUCGGAUUGCACUCUGCAACUCGAGUGCAUGAAGGUGGAAUCGCUAGUAAUCGCGUAACAGCAUGACGCGGUGAAUACGUUCCCGGGCCUUGUACACACCGCCCGUCACACCAUGGGAGUUGGUUUUACCCGAAGCUGGUGCGCUAACCGCAAGGAGGCAGCCAACCACGGUAAGGUCAGCGACUGGGGUGAAGUCGUAACAAGGUAGCCCUAGGGGAACCUGGGGCUGGAUCACCUCCUUUCUG